GAUGAACGCUGGCGGCGUGCCUAAUACAUGCAAGUCGAGCGAACAAACGAGGAGCUUGCUCCUCUGACGUUAGCGGCGGACGGGUGAGUAACACGUGGAUAACCUACCUAUAAGACUGGGAUAACUUCGGGAAACCGGAGCUAAUACCGGAUAAUAUAUUGAACCGCAUGGUUCAAUAGUGAAAGACGGUUUUGCUGUCACUUAUAGAUGGAUCCGCGCCGCAUUAGCUAGUUGGUAAGGUAACGGCUUACCAAGGCAACGAUGCGUAGCCGACCUGAGAGGGUGAUCGGCCACACUGGAACUGGGACACGGUCCAGACUCCUACGGGAGGCAGCAGUAGGGAAUCUUCCGCAAUGGGCGAAAGCUUGACGGAGCAACGCCGCGUGAGUGAUGAAGGUCUUCGGAUCGUAAAACUCUGUUAUUAGGGAAGAACAAAUGUGUAAGUAACUAUGCACGUCUUGACGGUACCUAAUCAGAAAGCCACGGCUAACUACGUG
rnacentral:rRNA from 1 species